rnacentral:rRNA from 1 species
UACAGAGGUCUCAAGCGUUGUUCGGAUUCAUUGGGCGUAAAGGGUGCGUAGGUGGCGCCGUAAGUCAGGUGUGAAAUUUCGGAGCUUAACUCCGAAACUGCAUUUGAUACUGCGGUGCUUGAGGACUGGAGAGGAGACUGGAAUUCACGGUGUAGCAGUGAAAUGCGUAGAUAUCGUGAGGAAGACCAGUGGCGAAGGCGGG